rnacentral:rRNA from 1 species
AUGGCGAUCGUCCCGCACAGCGCAGGGGGUAGCACGGUGUCGAUGCCGAUGUCGAUGCUCACACCGGACAACUACACGGUGUGGGCGAUCAAGGCCGAAGCCAUCCUCGACGCCCAGAACCUCUGGGAAGCGGUGUCACCAGCGAGCGGUGCGGCGGUCGACACGGGGAAGAACAAGACGGCGAGGGCGGUGCUGUUCGGUGCGCUCUCCGAAGACUUGUUGAUGCAGGUAUCGACGAAGAAGACGGCGGCUGAGGUGUGGGCCAGCUUGAAGACGAGGUUCAUCGGUGCCGAUCGGGUCCAGGCCGCGCGGCUCUCCACCCUCCGUGGCGAGUUUGACAACCUGCGCAUGGAGGAGGGGGAGGCGCUGGACACGUACGCCGGCAAGAUAGGCGGCAUGGCAGCAAGGUAUGCUGGCCUCGGCUCGACGCUCGGCGACGCCGCCAUGGUGAAAAAACUGCUCGACACGGUGCCCGAUCGGUUGUAUGCCGCGGUGGCCGGGAUCGAGCAGUUUUGCGACGUGGAGACGAUGGCGUUCGAGGAGGCGUUGAGCAGGCUCAAGGCGUUUGACGAACGCUUACGUCGGCGCACACAGGACAACGGCGGACGAGGCGGCGAUCAACUGAUGUUCACGGCGGCCCAGUGGGAGGCACGGCAGCGUCAGCACGGCGGCAACCUCGACCACGACGACGGUGCGAGCAGUGUGGCUUCGGGCACGAGACGGCGGCGCGGGAAGUGCUACAACUGUGGCGUUCGUGGCCACUUCUCCCGCGACUGCCGGCAGCCGAAGAAGGAGAAGGCGCUCCUCGGCGACAUCGACGACGAGCCGACCUUACUGUAG